GUCCACGCUGUAAACGAUGGGCGCUAGGUGUAGGGGUUUUAAUCCCUCUGUGCCGCAGCUAACGCAUUAAGCGCCCCGCCUGGGGAGUACGGCCGCAAGGUUAAAACUCAAAGGAAUUGACGGGGCCCGCACAAGCGGUGGAGCAUGUGGUUUAAUUCGACGCAACGCGAAGAACCUUACCUGGGCUUGACAUCUGGGGAAUCUCAGGGAAACCUGGGAGUGCGGAGCAAUCCGAGCCCCAAGACAGGUGCUGCAUGGCUGUCGU
rnacentral:rRNA from 1 species